rnacentral:lncRNA from 1 species
ACUGAUACUAUUUCUGCUUACAUCCAGCAACUGUAAGUCCUUACAGAGGCCUAAUGACUUAGGUAUCAAACCGUUGAUGUUAUUUCCAUUCAGUAAAAGUUUAUUUAAUGAUGUGAGCUUGCCUAUACUUUCAGGGAUGUUGCCUGAAAUUCUAUUCAUUGAAAGAUCCAACACAUUCAGUUGAGAUAGUGAGACAAAAGAUAGAGGAACUGUGCCUUCAAGCUUAUUCUCAUGGAGAUCGAUCAUUUCCAGCUGCAUGCAAUUUCCAAUUUCGAAAGGAAUAGCUCCAGUAAAUUGAUUUUCUGCCAACUCGAGGAAGCC